rnacentral:lncRNA from 1 species
UGUCUGAGCUAAUUGUUACACAAGGGUAUCACUUCUCCCCCAAAGGCAUUGGGGAAAAGAGGUGGGAGGUGGGAGGUGGGAGGCAAUCAUACCUUGUCCAAAUAUUCUCCAACUGAAGAGUCCAGCGUCCAGAAAGACCUCCUUGGUUGCACCUUACCUCCCCAAGCCCCGCCCGGGGUCCCGAGUGGCACCCCGCCCUCCCCUUGGCAAUUAAGCAUUACAGGCACUCUCCCCUCGCUCCGAGUUCCGCCAACACCUUGGGAUGUGAGAAAGUGAUGGCAGCUCUCUUCUGCAGAUCAUUACGGCAAAACCUGGAAGUAUCUAGAGAAGGCCGAUGACUAUCUUCAAGUAACACUUGCCAUACAUAGCCGAGGGAUUUAAAAAAAAAUGAGUAAACACAGCUCUCUGGGGGAUGAUCCCUCCACGCCCUUGCUUUUGAGCUUGGGGGGGGGGGGUCAUGCACAAACAUGAGACACGCGUGCACGACCUACAGACGCAAGCAGCAAACUUUUUUCUGCCUUGCACUUUAUUUAUUUACUUACUUAUUUGAGGCAAAGAUGAGCAUGGAAACGCUCAGACAUUUUUCCUUCCUUCCUUCCUUCCUUCCUUCCUUCCUUCCUUCCUUCCUUCCUUCCUUCUUUCCUUCUUUCCUUCCUUCCUUCCUUCUGUCCUUCCUUCCUUCCUUCUUUCCUUCCUUUCUUUCUUUCUGUGUUUUUUUUCUUCAAAGUGCUGUGUCUGACGGCACCGAGCCAAACCAUCUUUGUAUGUGUAGCUUCUUUGAAUGUCCAAACAGACCUAUUUAAAUACAUUAAAAGCAUAAUGAAAAGCGCUUUAGGCUUACAAAAACAACACCACCUCCUUACAGUUUGUACAGAAGUGCCCUACCUCUCCUACUAGAUUUUGCUAAAAUCCUGGGGUGGGUUGUAAAAAGCUUAAGUUUAGGCAGAAUGAAUGUAUACAUUUCAGUUAGUCUUAGACUAAUUGUACAGAGCAAUGAAAUGUUUGUGUUUCAAUGAGGGAGUUUAAUUUCUCUGGGAUUUUUAGGAUAGACAAUCAAAUUCACCCUAUCUGCCUUUCUAAUAGCCCACCCCAUAAAAUAAAUGAGUGCCUUUGAUUUGAUGUGCUUCGUGAAAAUGGGUAGAAUUAAAACUGUCAGUUCUGCCUGCAACCUGUGUCUUUCGAUGGAGUUCAAAAGCUUUUAAAGGUAAAACGUGCCAACACUUAUGUGUAUUAUUUCCUUUCCUACCAUUGCAGCUUUUAACUGAAAAAAAAAAAAAAACCAUAAAGAAAGGGUAUUUUACUCCCACAUUCAUUUUUCUUGGGAAGAUUUCAAUCUUUCAGGUAAUUUGAGGGUGGGCCCUGACGUCCAAGGUUGGUGGAGUCUGGGUUUACCUGAGUGUAGCCAAGAAAGUAGAGUCCGUUUGGUCCAGUUGUCCUACCCAAAUGCUGUACCUAUUACCUAGAAUGUGGCGUUUGUAUUUCUCCAGCGCUCUCUUGAAGAAGAGCAGAGUUGGGCAAAAGGAAGGAAGUGCCUCUUCCAAGGUUAAACAAAUGCGAAAAGGACGUGGAGUCCAUCCUGGAGAUUUGAGUUGAGAAGCAGUGACCACUUUAGCUUAGGCAAAGAUUGCAGAAUCCUUUGAAAAAGCUGACAGGGAUUUUCCAGAGAGGGGUGGGGUGGGGGGAAUCCUAGGGUGGGCAUUUUAUGCAAAUGAACAAAUUUGAAAUGUAGUACAUAUCCGGUAUAGUAAAACUGACAAUUCUGACAGUAUUGACAACAUAAAUAUAUGUUUGAACACCGCACUUUCAGACACUUAACCGAUGAAGCAAUAAAAAAAAUUCGACUACAAUAUUUCAAAUAAUCGACAUUGAUGUUUUGAUACAUCAUUUUUAUCCUCUGAAUCGAUCUAUCACUCUCAGGCUGGUCAAUUUUAAGUAAAAAUGGGGAGCAAUUAUUUGCACUUUGACUAAUGAUGACCUAAUAACAAUCUUCAAUUAAUUACACCCAAACUGUGCUUUCUUCCCUCAUAAAUGGGGGGUGAGUGAGAAAAAUUCUUAGGGAGUAGAGCUGGUAGUAGGGCACCCUUUCUGCUAUUUUCCAUUCUGUUUGUCAUUUGUAUAUAAAGAGGUCCAGAGUAGAGCCUCGUUCUUUCGUUCAGAACACUUACAAAGGAAAGUUGCUCAUGCCUGCACUACACACCUUUUAGGUAUGUUAGGAGAUGUAGCCUCCUUUCUACUUCGAAGCCGUUAGGAGUUCCUAACAAGCCUUCUGGCCACGUGAAUCCCAGAGUUUAGAGGAGUACAUGGAAGGAAGACAUUUGCUUAAAGCACAGAUUGGAGCUUUUUCUCAGGUUGAGUGUGAGGGAAAGGGAUGGAGGAAAGGAUGAGAGAGAAGAAGAGGAUAAACAGAAAGAGGAAAGGGAGGGAGGGAUGGAGAGAGGGUGGGAGAGAGAAAAGGGGGGAGAGAAACAGGGCUGGAAGGAAGUAGGAAGAGGGAAAGAGGGAGGGAGAGACGGGAGAGGAAGAGAAAAAUAGAGAGUAUGAAUGGAUACAGCAGCCUAUCGAUGAGCCACCUAGCAGGGCUUACUGUCUGGGUCUCGGUCUUCCUUAACCUCGGCUCGCACCACUGAGCGGUUUUAAGUACAGGAAGAUGCGUGUAACUCCCGUUUAGCCCCACUGGCUUACUCGAACGGUGUGUGUUGGUUCACCAUGUGGUUUUUCUAGGGGGCUUUCCUAGUCCCACUUUGACACUUGUCUCUAAAGUGUGCGCGCGUGUGUGUGUGUGUGUGUGUGUGUGUGUGUGUGUGUGUGUGAUUGGUGGGAGUUCUGGGAAUAAAUCUGGCUAACUGAGGAAGAACAAAUGGACAGGCGCCUUGGAUGUAGACUGCAGACUGAGACAGUCCCUUGGAAACCUAGAUUUCCCCGGGGACGAGAGCACCGAGUAUCUUAUUCCCCUAAACAACAACAACAACAACUCUGUCCCCUGCUGUGCUGUCCAAUCCCUUCGAAGCCUCCUUUCUCCCACACGGGGCUUCCUGGCUUUCAGAUCUCAAACUUAUAUAAGCUGUACUAGCCGGAAUCCGGGAGAGAAAAAAGUCUUGUUUCCAGAAAACUUCCCAAUUGUUAAGCCCCUUCAAAACACCACCCGCGGAGUGUUGGGCUCGUCAACACUUUUAACACAGCUAAGGUGCUCAACAAAGGGAGAAGAUGAGUGUGAGUCACUCUGGAUCAGGACUGGAAAGUCUUUAUGAUCUGGGUGGCCGACUGCCUUCUAGUUACAACCGUCCAGUCCGGGGGGCGGGGGGUGUCCCUGUCUGCAUUGGAAUCUGUAGUAAAGACUAGAAAGGGGCGGAGGGGAAAAGAAGGAACUGGAAAUGGGAUACAGAGCGCAAAAAUGACAAGAGAUAGAGCAAGAGGAAAAGGAAAAGGAAGUGAGGAAGGGCGUGGGAAGGAGAAACUGACAGCGCCACGGUGCACAGAGUGUUUGGAGCCCCGCCAGAUAGCGCUAGAGGGCUAUUUAUUGAAACCCGUUCUUUCCGCGCCAUAGGGAAACAGCUAAAAUGGGAAGAAAUCAAACAGGGCAAAAGCAAAAUGCAACAAUUCCACUCCAUCUUUUUUUUUUUUUUAACCUGUCGGUUCAUUUGAUCGUAUUUCCAGGGUGAAAAAAAGUCUAUGAUAGAGCACGAAGGUGUGAAAAAGGAAAAAAACCAAUAAAUAAAAGUAAACACAAAGCAAAAGCAAAAAUAAACCAGUAAGGUGGUGGUAGUAGUGGUGUGAGGACAGGGGCCCUUUCCCAGGGUAGACACCAUCUAGAAAGAGCACGAACCAAGGUAAGAGGUAAGCAAGUGAGCAGAAUUCUUUUUACUGUAACUUUUCAGUUAUACUGCGGAGAAGGUCAAAAACAGUUCACAAGGAUGAGCGGAGGUUUACGGAGAAGAGACGUUUUAAAAGUAAUAAAUGGCUCCAAGGGCUGGAGUGUGGGACAAACACGUUAAUAGAAAUGCCAAAUAAAAUAUAUAUCAAAAAUUCCAACUGUCAGCCAGCAGGACCAGGGCAGAAGACAACCUAAGCCCUGAGCCUUUGUCCCAAUAACAUAAGACUCAGGGCUGUUUCUGCAGGACCACAGCACCCUUGGAGAACAAUUUACAGACAGCCCAGGAAUCCUGGAGAAAGGGGGAAAGGACUUUUAAAACUCACCCUCCUUUAGAACCCAAAGGAAAGUAGUGCAGAUGGAAAGAGAAAACCUGAGAGCAGAAGUGGACAUGGCAAGAGAAAAAGCAAAUGGAUCGUGUGUUUUUGAGGUCCCACCCCGGCUAGAUUCACUAAUUCAAGGAAAUAAAGGUCCUUCGUUCCUAUUGAUAUUUUACUUUUAAGUAUCAACCUUGUUUGUCAAAAACCCUGGCAUUUCCUAUGGCUAGCCUCCCGUUUUAGCAAUGAGCUUUCCUUUGACCCAAUGAAACCCCUCUUAACUCAAAGGAGUAAGUUAUCUUCCAUUAGGCUGAGCAGAACCUCCCCAAUUCAAACAUAAUCUCACCUUCUUUCUUCAAUAAAACUCUCCUUGAUACGAAAUAUUCCAAAUCAAAACAUUAACUAAAGUUACAAACAAGAUUAAGGCUGGAUUUACUGGCUCUGGUAAUAAAGCAUCAAUUGUUCUAACUGUUGAAAAGAAGACAAAAGGGAUUUAAAUCUGGUGAUUUUAAUACACAGAUUAACACUUCAGGACCUCACAGUUCUGAGGAAUGUGGAGUUAUCUGUGCAGAGGAUCUGGACAUUGGGGAGGGGGGAUAUAAAAAGAACAGCCGCAAUUACCACCUCAAGGAGGCUGAACAAGCACAGCUAAAAUAAAGUUGGAGUUUAUAAAUGCUACUUCAAAUUAACUCCCCUCCCAAAAGCCAAUGCCGUUGGACUACAGAACUAGGGGGCUUAUAUUAUUCCCUUAAAUCCUUAAUGUUACCUAUAGUAACAUUCCACAAGGGAUCAAAAGAAGAAAGGGAGAAAUAGAAAGGAGUGCUUUUCAGAAGUCUAGGAGAUGCUUCAAUAAGAAAGGGGGUGAUUAAAAACAGACUCUUAAAUUUGAGAGGCCCAAUUCUCUUUCUCAUUCACCCCCUUCAGUACCCCCCUUUUCACCUCCUUUUUAAUUCAAUGUUCCCACCCCCCACUCCAGAGCUAAGUAGCUGAUUUAAGAUUGUGAAGAAAUAGGUUUUACCAACCAUAUUUGUUCUGGGGCACUUGUAAAACGCGAUUUGUAGAGAGUCUUUAGCCUUCCAAUUGUCUUUGAAUUGUUUUUACUGAAACAGAUCUUUUGCAGUUAAUGAGUCCCCACACAGCUGGACAGCUCCUCACGGACACUGAGAACUCUAACCCCAAAAUGACCCCAAUUUGACACCGCAAGAUGAAAUUUUACCGCCUGUUAAAACCAUUUCCAGCCUGGGCAGAAGGGGCUGACUGUUGACUGAGGUGUGCAUGGCGCCUGUGACCCCCAUCUCUUGUCUGUCUCUGGGGCUGCCCCACCUAUUUCCCUUCACCUCAAAUGUGGGAGAGUAAAUGAAUCCACAAAGGGUGUGGAGUGUGAAGCUCUGAAAACAAGGUGCCCAUAUACAGAAAGAAAAGAGAAAGUGUGGACACCUCGCUGUUGUGCAAUGGCUUCUACCAGACAUGGAAAUCGAGAUGAGGAACAGAGGCAAGUCCCUCACUAUAUGCAACCUAUGCUGUUGUAUUAAUAAAAACACCCAUAAGCUGUUGGAUGAUCACAACUUGUGGUAUCACAGGGAUCAGGAAAGAUACUCCAACUUGAUCCCCUGUGCAAUGCAUGGCAGUGGUAGAUUUUAAAACUAACAUUUAAACUAAGAGUUUUACCAAUAGCGUGCAUCUGUGUAACCCAUCUCUUCAGUGAAAGCAGCCGCUCCUUUUAGAUAAAGUGAAUUUCAAAGCCAAAAGGCCUUCACCAGCAUGCUAUUUUCAACCACCUCACACUUCUUAACUCUAAAAGUCUCCCUAAAAAUUCUCGCUUUUCUUAAAAUGUCCUUCCUUUCUGCCCCCUACAUCUGACCAGAUUGUCCUCUUGUUUGCUUUAAGGCAUUUGCCAAAAUUCAUAAGAAGUUACGUGGUGAAGGAGAGGAAGAGGUUCAAGUUUAAGCUCCGUCUGCACUGCCCACAGUAUAAAUCGGGGUUAGCAUUUUUCUUUGUAAAACCCCAAAUUACCACCCUUCAUCAAGCCAUUAUUUCCUUAACGAUUGCUUUAGAAAAUAGAAAUAAUCAACUUGGAUUUUUGUUUUUAACUCAGGGAGAAACUUUAUUAAUGCUGUUUUUUCUUAAUGCUAAAGAAGUUUUACUAAAUAAAGGUUACCGGGAAAUUAAAUCGCUUUACAAUAUCAACAAGCUGGGGUUGGGGUGGGGGUGGGGGCUGCGAACCGCUGUGGAAAAAAAGAGCUAAGCAUGCUUACAGGAAGAUGCAGAGGUUUCUCACGAAGUUGUUCUUUACAAAAGAAGCGUUUAUCUCGGAAACCCGUGUUCCUUUGAAAAAGAAACUUCCUAACUGGCGUUUAUUUAACCAGGAUUUAAAAAGAGCAAAAAUCUUACUGGCGAUACUAAAUAGCCAAUGUUGAAAUUAAGAACAAUUAGAGGAAUCAAAACUGAAUGUAAACUCUGCCAACAGUGCUGGGCCGACAACUUGGAUCCAGUAUCAUUCACAACUCUGUGAAGCAGAAAACGGUCUUCAGCCAGGCCAAAUAUUCUCUCAUAUUCUGUGUCUCUCCUUUCUGUGUCUGUCUCUGUGUGUGUCUCACCUCCCUCUCUCUCUUUCCCUCUCUUUUACCCUAGGAGGAUAAACUGAGAUUUAACUUCACCCCCUCCCAAAAAAAAAAAUUCUGGAGGCCAACUUUUCCUUUUCUUUUUACUUACCUUUUCUUAUCUGUCCACGAGUAAUUCAGCAUCAAAUGAGACGGAUAUUUGUAAUCUUGAAGUUCUUCUAGGGGGGAAAAAAGUGGUGGGGGAGGGGGAAAGGACCAUAUAGUCCUUCGGGUUCCAAACUGCUCUGCUGUCUUGGGCUUGAAGCGGAAAGAGAGGGAAACCCUUGGCUGGACUCUGCUCCCAGAAGGUCCCCGAGGCCGCCUUCCCUGCUUUGGCCACUGGAGCCAAACUCGCACGGGCUGCAACCCCUCUCCCGGCGCGCUCUCCGGGCCUCUGCCAGCCCCUCCACACUGUCUUUAUAUGUGAGGGCCGAUUUCCCGCAGACAUCAUUGUUAUGAUGGCUCAUUUAAUCAAACUGUUUAAUUGCUCUGGUAAUCACUAUCAUCAUCACAGGUGCUCAAUCAUUCAUCAUUUUUGGAGGGCUUUAUUGACCUCCGGAGCUCAUUCACCAGCCCUAGGAGAACGAGGCCAAAUUUCCUCAGACUCCGCAUGGAGUCUCGGCAUGCAGUAGUUUUAGCUAGCUUGGGAUGUUCAGAAGCUUGCUAGGAAACCAGGAAGAUGCUAAAUGGGAGAAAAACCUCUCUCUCUCUCUCUCUCUCUCUCUCUCUCUCUCUCUCUCUCUCUCUCUCCCUCCCUCCCUCCCUCCCUCUCCCUCUCCGUCUCCCUCUCCCUCUCUCUGUAAGUCCUCUCUCUCUCUCUCUCUCUCUCACACACACACACACACACACACACACACACACACACACACACACACACCACUCUACUAUACCUAACCACUCCCAUCCACCCCCGCCCCCAUGAGAAAGUCCAGUCAAAGGCACCCUUGCAGGAGGCGCUGCUUUCUGUCACGGGAUGGUUCAGAGUUGGGGAGGGAGGCCGCAGUUGAACAGCAAACCCUUACUCUGUUUGCUAUUCUCUGGGCCUGGGGCCCGGAACCCAGGGCGAGGGUGAGAAGUUGGGGAGAGGGCGCGCUCCCAGUGCGUGGCUGGGUCGCGCUGCCAGCUGCCUGGUGGCGGCAGGGUGAACCCGGCUACGCGCGCCGGGUGACCAAAGCUCCGCCCCCAGCUCUCGUCUCUCGGUGAUUGACGCGCAGCCGCGGGGAAACAGCAGAGCAGAGAUUGAGCCCAGGACCCCUAGACUCUCAAUGGUGGUCUACACUGUCUGCAGCGCACCGAGGGACUAUGCUCCGAGUUCAGCUGCUCAUAUCUUGUACUAGACAAAAAUGAAUAUUGACAAAAAGGGCUCUGCAUCUGCACGAGAAAGAAAGUACCACUUAACAACAACAACAACAACAACAACAACAAAAAUCCUAGCCUGGCGGUGGUGCAGUUGGCGGAGCUUGCUGCUCUAGGUUGUAGUGGCAGAGUUCGGGACCUAGUAAUCCGCCGGCAGAGGAAGGGGGCCGCGGAAUUAAAACGAACAAAAGCUAGAGCGCCAUGCCAAACAUCCCCAACGCGACCCAGUUAGGCAGGAGCCAAGAGGAGUGGUGGGGAAAUAAACGAGAAGUAAGUUGAAAAUAAAAAGAUCUGAGUCUGUACCGUACUUUCCCUGUGGCUUUCUGCAGUUUUCCUGUCUGCGCUCUCCCUGUCCUCUUCCACCUCUCUUCCUUCCCCCUCCAAUCACGCGUGUUCUCUCUCUCUCUCUCUCUCUCUCUCUCUCUCUCUCUCUCUCUCUCUCUCUCUCUCUCUCCCUCUCUCUCCCUCUCCUGUCGCUCUCCCUC